GGGGAUUUAGCUCAGCGGCAUAAGCACCUGCCUUGCAAGCAGGUGGUCGGUUGUGAGUUCGAUCCCUG
rnacentral:tRNA from 1 species